rnacentral:misc_RNA from 1 species
GAGAACUCUUCGAUUUAUAGCGUUCAAAUUUCAUCUGCUGUUCUUCGCAUGGCCCGAAUUCUAUCACUUUCCCAAUCUUUCAUCUCCUCCAAGUUGCAAUCUGCGCCAUUGAAAUUAUCUCUGUUGAUUCCGUCUUCCUUUGCCCUCGGUCAUCGGAACCGCUCUACACGUUCCGGCAAGGUCAAAUUCAUCGAAAUUGACCUCGAAUCGUCCUCUUUCGGGCCUGAUUCAGAGGUUCUUGCUAUUAGGAAGCUCGACGACUUUGUACAGAAGAUUAUCGUUGAGCGAUCGACUCCAGAUUGGCUUCCGUUUGUGCCCGGUUCGUCAUUUUGGGUUCCUCCACGCCGUACCAAACCACGCAGGGUGGUCGACCUAUUCGAUAAAUUGGUUGAACCCAUCAUCAAGGAGGAUUCCCCUUCCCUUGCUAACGCCCGUGGUUGGCCCUGCCUAGAUUUUUU